rnacentral:rRNA from 1 species
GGGGGAUAUUGCGCAAUGGGGGCAACCCUGACGCAGCAACGCCGCGUGAAGGAUGAAGGUUUUCGGAUUGUAAACUUCUUUUAUUAAGGACGAAAAAUGACGGUACUUAAUGAAUAAGCUCCGGCUAACUACGUGCCAGCAGCCGCGGUAAUACGUAGGGAGCAAGCGUUGUCCGGAUUUACUGGGUGUAAAGGGUGCGUAGGCGGCUUUGCAAGUCAGAUGUGAAAUCUAUGGGCUCAACCCAUAAACUGCAUUUGAAACUGUAGAGCUUAAGUGAAGUAGAGGCAGGCGGAAUUCCCCGUGUAGCGGUGAAAUGCGUAGAGAUGGGGAGGAACACCAGUGGCGAAGGCGGCCUGCUGGGCUUUAACUGACGCUGAGGCACGAAAGCGUGGGUAGCAAACAGGAUUAGAUACCCUGGUAGUCCACGCUGUAAACGAUGAUUACUAGGUGUGGGGGGUCUGACCCCUUCCGUGCCGGAGUUAACACAAUAAGUAAUCCACCUGGGGAGUACGGCCGCAAGGUUGAAACUCAAAGGAAUUGACGGGGGCCCGCACAAGCAGUGGAGUAUGUGGUUUAAUUCGAAGCAACGCGAAGAACCUUACCAGGUCUUGACAUCCAACUAACGAAGUAGAGAUACAUUAGGUGCCCUUCGGGGAAAGUUGAGACAGGUGGUGCAUGGUUGUCGUCAGCUCGUGUCGUGAGAUGUUGGGUUAAGUCCCGCAACGAGCGCAACCCUUGCUAUUAGUUGCUACGCAAGAGCACUCUAAUAGGACUGCCGUUGACAAAACGGAGGAAGGUGGGGACGACGUCAAAUCAUCAUGCCCCUUAUGACCUGGGCUACACACGUACUACAAUGGAUGUUAACAGAGGGAAGCAAGACAGCGAUGUGGAGCAAACCCCUAAAAACAUUCUCAGUUCAGAUUGCAGGCUGCAACCCGCCUGCAUGAAGAUGGAAUUGCUAGUAAUCGCGGAUCAGCAUGCCGCGGUGAAUACGUUCCCG